UACAGAGGGGGCAAGCGUUGUUCGGAAUUACUGGGCGUAAAGGGCGCGUAGGCGGCCUUCUAAGUCGAACGUGAAAUCCCCCGGCUUAACCUGGGAACUGCGUCUGAUACUGGGAGGCUUGAGUAUGGGAGAGGGAUGUAGAAUUCCAGGUGUAGCGGUGAAAUGCGUAGAUAUCAGGAGGAACACCGGUGGCGAAGGCGGCCCUCUGGACGGUGACUGACGCUGAGACGCGAAAGCGUGGGGAGCAAACAGG
rnacentral:rRNA from 1 species